UCAAGAAGACAAUAAAAUAAAUUCUAGCUACCUCAGAGCAUCCUAGAUAACUUCUGUUCAUCUUCCAAAUUCUCUGUCUACCCUUCAUCACCCUACUUUAGUCUCCCAAGACCUUUAUGACCUCUAUUUAUGACAUCAAGAGGCUACCUUCCGAUCUAGCUUCUAGCUGAAUUCAACAAAUGAGAGAUUCCAACACAAGACCAUAGAGUAAGAAAACGAGAGCAGGAAUUUAUUCCCCUAGCUUUCUCUUUGCCACAUUACCACAGGUCACCUAUGCCAUUCCACCAAAGGCGUGGCUCCUGUCAGGUGGCCCAAUCUUGAAGAAUGGAUUCACCUGUGGGUCAACUAAUGAAAAGCAAAAUCCUCCAAGUCAAGUCCUUGUCUUCCAGGAGGUCAGGAAAAAAAUCUCUUCUAAAGAAUCAUUCUUAGAUCUGAGACAUAGAAGAUGAAUAGUAUCUCGUUCAGGCAAAGCAUUUGUGAAGGUCCAGAGGUGAGAAGAUACUUUGCAUUUUCAUCAAAACUGAAGCAGCUGAGGCUCACUGAGCAGCAGGAAAGAAAGGAAACAGGGGUCUAUCUGUAUGAAAGGUUCAUACUGUUCUCGUGCCUCCAAAAUGGGAUUUUCUCUACUUAUUACCAUGUCUUCAAGCUUGCGGAACAGCUCACGGAAAAACCCUCUCUCUGGACAUGUUUGGGCCAGAUUCAAGAUCAACUCAAGUCACCUUGAGCUGGAGGUCCCCCGGGCAAGUCACUGAAUUUUCCUCAGCCCCCAUCCUCCUCUACAAAAUAGAUACUGUUGAACAAUACGAGCCUGAACUGUGUUGGGCCACUUAUAUGUGGAUAUUUUUCAAUAAAUUCAGUAAAGUACUACAAAUGUAUGUUCUCUUCCU